CUCGAUGGUGGCUGUGCGCAGGGCGCCUCCGGGCGCGCCGAUAUCUUAGCUCGUCGGUCGACUAACCUGCGUACAGCUGCCUCCCAA
rfam:Pseudomonas fluorescens F113, complete genome.